GACGAACGCUGGCGGCGUGCUUAACACAUGCAAGUCGAACGAAGAGCGAUGGAAUCUUGCUUCUAUCAAUCUUAGUGGCGAACGGGUUAGUAACGCGUAAUGAACCUGCCCUUCAGAGGGGGACAACAGUUGGAAACGAUUGCUAAUACCGCAUACGAUCUAAUCUCGGCAUCGAGGAUAUAUGAAAGGUGGCCUCUACAUGUAAGCUCUCACUGAACGACGGGAUUGCGUCUGAUUAGCUAGUUGGGGGGGUAACGUCGAACUGAGGCGAGGAUCAGUAAACGGUCUGAGAGGAUGAACUGCCACGUUGGGACGGAGACACGGCCCAGACUACUACGGGAGGCAGCCGUGGGGAAUCCUCCGCAAUGGACGAAAGUCUGAAGGAGCAACGAUGCGUGAGUGCUGAAGGCAUUCGGGUUGUAAAGGUCAGUUAAUCGGGACGAAAGGCCUUCUUGCGAAUAGUGAGAAGGAUUGACGGUACCGGAAUAGAAAGCCACGGCUAACUCCGUG
rnacentral:rRNA from 1 species